rnacentral:rRNA from 1 species
UAACGCGUGGGUAACCUGCCUUGUACUGGGGGACAACAGUUGGAAACGACUGCUAAUACCGUAUAAGCGCACAGCUUCGCAUGAAGCAGUGUGAAAAACUCCGGUGGUACAAGAUGGACCCGCGUCUGAUUAGCUGGUUGGUGAGGUAACGGCCCACCAAGGCGACGAUCAGUAGCCGGCCUGAGAGGGUGAACGGCCACAUUGGGACUGAGACACGGCCCAAACUCCUACGGGAGGCAGCAGUGGGGAAUAUUGCACAAUGGGGGAAACCCUGAUGCAGCAACGCCGCGUGAGUGAAGAAGUAUUUCGGUAUGUAAAGCUCUAUCAGCAGGAAAGAAAAUGACGGUACCUGACUAAGAAGCCCCGGCUAACUACGUGCCAGCAGCCGCGGUAAUACGUAGGGGGCAAGCGUUAUCCGGAUUUACUGGGUGUAAAGGGAGCGUAGACGGUUUUGCAAGUCUGAAGUGAAAGCCCGGGGCUUAACCCCGGGACUGCUUUGGAAACUGUAGAACUAGAGUGCAGGAGAGGUAAGUGGAAUUCCUAGUGUAGCGGUGAAAUGCGUAGAUAUUAGGAGGAACACCAGUGGCGAAGGCGGCUUACUGGACUGUAACUGACGUUGAGGCUCGAAAGCGCGGGGAGCAAACAGGAUUAGAUACCCUGGUAGUCCACGCCGUAAACGAUGAUUACUAGGUGU